rnacentral:ncRNA from 2 species
CAGCCAAGGAUGACUUGCC